AACAGAGGAGAGUUCUACAUACCUGAUAUAGGAACAGAGGAGAAGUUCUACAUACCUGAUAUAGGAACAGAGGAGAGUUCUACAUACCUGAUAUAGGAACAGAGGAGAAUUCUA